rnacentral:lncRNA from 1 species
CCUUAAACGUUGAUCAGACCAAAUCUUCCCGCGUGGGUCCCACAUUUUUCAUCCAUCUUCUCCUCCAAUUUUCCGCUGAUUUCUUCAAAACAUUUCUUCGUCUUCUGCCUCUUCUUCCCUAAGCAAGAAAAAUGGGAAUUUCUUUGAGUAAAAGGCAACAAAAUCAUCCCCUCCACCACCUCCUCCGCCACUACCGUUGUAACAUAUUCUAGAACCAAAAUAACAAUAUAAAAAAAUUAUUAACUUAAGCUAAUGUUCUUGUCAUUAUAAUAAGGGAUUAAUCAUAAUCUGACGUUUUAAUUUCACUAGCGGAUGUAAUAACCGAAUUUACAAAAAAAGUUUUUUAAAAAAAAAAAGAGAUUGAAUUAUUAUUUUUAAUUAAACUAAACGCUGGAAAAAAAUGAAGUUCUUGUACAAACACAAAUUAUUUAAUUUUUCUUCAACACCUAAACAUCCUACCUAUUUCCCUUAAACGUUGAUCGGACCCAAUCUUCCCGCGUGGGUCCCACAAUUUCAUCCAUCUUCCGCUGAUUUCUUCAAAAUCUUUUCUUCGUCUUCUGCCUCUUCUUCCCUAAGCAAGAAAAAUGGGAAUUUCUUUGAGUAAAAGGCAACAAAAUCAUCACCUCCACCACCCUCCUCCGCCACUACCGCUACCGUCUUCUUCCAUUCCUCCGCCCCUCCCUCCUCUUACACCACCUCCCCACCCAAGCUACUCCUUUCCU